UACGUAGGGUGCAAGCGUUGUCCGGAAUUAUUGGGCGUAAGCGCGCGCAGGCGGUCAGGUAAGUCUGAUGUUAAAGCCCGGGGCUCAACCCCGGUACGCAUUGGAAACUGUCUGACUUGAGUGCAGGAGAGGAAAGCGGUAUUCCACGUGUAGCGGUGAAAUGCGUAGAGAUGUGGAGGAACACCAGUGGCGAAGGCGCUUUCUGGCCUGUAACUGACGCUGGAGGCGCGAAAGCGUGGGGAGCAAACAGG
rnacentral:rRNA from 1 species